GAGGGUAUAGCUCUAGUGGAAGAGUGCAUGCCUAGCAUGCAUGAGGCCCUAGGUUCAAUCCCAAGUAGCUUCA
rnacentral:tRNA from 1 species